rfam:Oryza glumipatula chromosome 5, whole genome shotgun sequence.
AAAAAGUCAAAUCAUGGGUUUCCGUGUCCAACUUUGAUUGUUCGUCUUAUAUGAAAUUUUUAAUUAAUAUUUUAUGCGUGACUUGUCUUUUUAAUUUUUUUAUAAUUUUUUUAAAUAAGACGGACGGUUAAACGUUGGGCACGGAAACCAGGGUUUGCCUUUUUU